GAGAGAGAGAGAGACCGACGGACGGCAAGAAAAGGAAGAAGCAGCAGAAGAAAAGAGAGCGAUGGGGGGCGGGGGGGAGAGCAGCCAGGAUCGCAGCAGCCAAGCCAGACGCUCUUCAUCCAGGCCACGGAAAGCGAAGACCUUCUGCUCUUGGAAAAAUCCUUUCCGGAUCCUGUCACACCAUCUAGAAGGCUAAAGAAGAUGAUGAUCAAUGAAUUUACCAGUCAGGAAACCAUGGGAUGAAAGAAGGAAACAUCUAAGUCUGUUGUUGGGGUGCCUAAGGGUGCAAUCUUUAUCUCAUUAUCAAUGGCAAACAAUGAUUUUAAUGAUUCAUCACUGCACUCAUAGAAGAUUAAAAAUUCUACAUACAUGUGGAGAACUUUUAAAACCUAUUCAAAGACUUUUUCAUAUGGGAAUUAUGGUCAAACACAGAGAUGGUGUAAUCUAACACCUCCAGCCAGUAGAUGGUGCUAUACUAUUUUCUUACUGCUGUUAUCGGUUGCCUUUGUUAUUACGCUGUUCUCUUUUGAGAUCUAUCUGAAAGUUCAGCCAUGUUCUAGUAUGCAUGCUACCGGCAUAAAUUGAUUUAAUAAAUAUUAUUUCUUCAGCCAAGGAUUAGAAUAGUGUGAACAAAUGCAAUUGGGGGUGGGGGGAAUAUUUCAAGUUUACAAUUCAUAGCUGUCCCCUUUGUUCUUUGAUUCCUCUCUGGUCUUUUAUGGCAAGGAUAUGGUACAUGAGAGGGUGAUUAGAAUGAAAAGCUUCAUCCAUCAAGUUUAACAACUUCUCUGGUGUAACUUCUGAGCGUGCUCAUUGCCUAUUCAUGUGGAAGUGAGCACGCCCAGCUCGUUCUGCUUAGUUUUGCUACUCUUCUUUGUUGGUUCACAAGGCUCUUAUGGUAGCUGCAAAUGGCUUCUCAAGUGACAUUUGCUGACAUUCAGGGGAGUAUAUUUAUCAGCUUUCUUCAGCUCACCUCUAUACAUGCAAUCCAUUUUAUUUGUGUUCUUCAUAGCAACCUUCUUUUUUUCUGUCCAUGCCCUGAAAAUGAUAAAUGGCGAGAUGGCAAAUUUCCCUAGCUGCACUAAAAUGUCACCAUAAAAGGGGUGGGGGGAAUCUUUAAUGGACUAAGUGUAGCAUUUCAGGUUGUAACUUGUCAAGGUGCUGGGAAAUUCUAGAGUUUCUCCUUAAUCCACAGUUCUUUGGAACCGCACUAGUGUAGGCAGAGAGUCUAAUUAUAAGUUACACCAGUCAGAGCUGGACAAGCAUAAACCAAGUGGAAAACAUUUCACGGCUGCUAAUUUUAUAUCUCACUUCUCUGUAUUCUCAACACACUGCUACUUCAUUCCCCAACAUUACACAUGCCCAGUGUGUUUACCCAUGUUCUAAUUAUAUGUGUGGAUAUAAUUUAUUUGAUUCUUAAUUACUUUGCUUAUAAUUAUCACGGAA